rnacentral:rRNA from 1 species
UGAGGAACAUGACCUUCGGCGGGGGAUAGCCGGCCCAACGGCCGGGUAAUACCGCGUACGACCUUUUGGGGACAUCCCCGAUUGGUGAAAGCAGCAAUGCGCCGAUGGAGUGCCUCGCGGCCUAUCAGCUAGUUGGUGAGGUAACGGCUCACCAAGGCAACGACGGGUAGCUGGUCUGAGAGGAUGGCCAGCCACAUUGGGACUGAGAUACCGGCCCAGACCUCCGUACGGGGAGNAGCG